rnacentral:rRNA from 1 species
AGAGUUUGAUCCUGGCUCAGGACGAACGCUGGCGGCGUGCUUAACACAUGCAAGUCGAGCGGAAAGGCCCUUUCGGGGGUACUCGAGCGGCGAACGGGUGAGUAACACGUGAGUAACCUGCCCCAGUCUUUGGGAUAACCCUCGGAAACGGGGGCUAAUACCGGAUAUGACAUGCCACCGCAUGGUGUGUGUGUGGAAAGUUUUUCGGUCUGGGAUGGGCUCGCGGCCUAUCAGCUUGUUGGUGGGGUGAUGGCCUACCAAGGCGACGACGGGUAGCCGGCCUGAGAGGGCGACCGGCCACACUGGGACUGAGACACGGCCCAGACUCCUACGGGAGGCAGCAGUGGGGAAUAUUGCACAAUGGGCGGAAGCCUGAUGCAGCGACGCCGCGUGAGGGAUGACGGCCUUCGGGUUGUAAACCUCUUUCAGCAGGGACGAAGCGAGAGUGACGGUACCUGCAGAAGAAGCGCCGGCCAACUACGUGCCAGCAGCCGCGGUAAGACGUAGGGCGCGAGCGUUGUCCGGAUUUAUUGGGCGUAAAGAGCUCGUAGGCGGCUUGUCGCGUCGGCUGUGAAAACCCGUGGCUCAACUGCGGGCUUGCAGCCGAUACGGGCAGGCUGGAGUUCGGUAGGGGAGACUGGAAUUCCUGGUGUAGCGGUGAAAUGCGCAGAUAUCAGGAGGAACACCGGUGGCGAAGGCGGGUCUCUGGGCCGAUACUGACGCUGAGGAGCGAAAGCGUGGGGAGCGAACAGGAUUAGAUACCCUAGUAGUCC